AGCGAAAGUGACGGUACCUGCAGAAAAAGCGCCGGCUAACUACGUGCCAGCAGCCGCGGUAAUACGUAGGGCGCAAGCGUUAUCCGGAAUUAUUGGGCGUAAAGAGCUCGUAGGCGGUUUGUCGCGUCUGCUGUGAAAUCCGGAGGCUCAACCUCCGGCCUGCAGUGGGUACGGGCAGACUAGAGUGCGGUAGGGGAGAUUGGAAUUCCUGGUGUAGCGGUGGAAUGCGCAGAUAUCAGGAGGAACACCGAUGGCGAAGGCAGAUCUCUGGGCCGUAACUGACGCUGAGGAGCGAAAGGGUGGGGAGCAAACAGGCUUAGAUACCCU
rnacentral:rRNA from 1 species